rnacentral:misc_RNA from 1 species
CAUAGCAACUCUCUUAUCUAAAGAAGGAGAGGAUGAUGGCCCCCCAUGUCACACCUGACGUGGUUGGCCUAAAUAAGGAGCCUUAGGUUAUUAGAUGCCGUGGCGAUUGGUGGUUAUACAAGGCAUUUGCCUGUGAAGCAUCUCGUUGCGGAAAAAGUAGCCUAUAUGGUCUCGUUGGACCCUUUGAUAACCUUU